GAGAUCGGGAUAACACCUGGAAACAAGAUGCUAAUACCGGAUAACAACAGAUGAUGCCUAUCAACUGUUUAAAAGAUGGUUCUGCUAUCACUCUUGGAUGGACCUGCGGUGCAUUAGCUAGUUGGUAGGGUAACGGCCUACCAAGGCGAUGAUGCAUAGCCGAGUUGAGAGACUGAUCGGCCACAUUGGGACUGAGACACGGCCCGAAACUCCUACGGGAGGCAGCAGCG
rnacentral:rRNA from 1 species